rnacentral:rRNA from 1 species
UACGGGGGGGGUAAGCGUUGCUCGGAAUCACUGGGCGUAAAGGGCGCGUAGGCGGCCAUUCAAGUCAGAGGUGAAAGCCCAAGGCUCAACCUUGGAACUGCCUUUGAUACUGUUUGGCUUGAGACCGGUAGAGGUAAGUGGAACUGCGAGUGUAGAGGUGAAAUUCGUAGAUAUUCGCAAGAACACCAGUGGCGAAGGCGGCUUACUGGACCGGUUCUGACGCUGAGGCGCAAAAGCGUGGGGAGCAAACAGG